AGUACAUCACCACCAAGAAAGGUGAACGAAGCCAGAGGAAUCGUGCCUUUGUUCCCGUACCUUCUUCAAAAAUGGCUAUGCCAGAAGAGACCAGGAAAGGUGUCUACGUCUCAAGUAGGGGAUAUCUUCUAGAAGAGUGGAACAAGCAUUGAGGAGCAUAUUCAAGACAUCGCUGGAAGUGCUCAGCCCUGUCGACUGGCUCUGGGAAGAAUUAUUCAGUUCAGCAGUACUUCAAUUUUGAUCAGAAUGCCAUUCCAUGCAAGUCAGUCUCUUCUCUUGAUGCCUUUAACAAACUGUUUACCCAAAAAUGAAAAUUGUCAUUAUUUACUCACCCUCAUGUCAUUCCAAACCUGUAAGACUUGCGUUCAUCUUCAAAACACCAAUGAAGAUAUUUUAAUGAAAUCUGAGAGAUUUCUGUCCUUACAUUGAGAGUCCACGCAAGCUAGCACAUUCAAGGCCCAGAAAGGUAGUAAUGACAUCAUUAAAGUUAUCAUGUGACUCCACUGGUUUAACCUCAAUUUUAUGCAUGCAUUCACGUCUGCUUUAAUUUCAACAAAACACUCAUCCGUCGUCGUGCUCUUGUGUACGCUUGUCAGGGAUCAAUACUUUCAUAAAGAGGUAACUUUUUUUUUUUUUUUUCUUUGUGCAAACAAAGUGCUCGUGUUGCUUAAUAAAACUGAAGUUAAAUCACCGGAGUCACACGGGUUACUUUAAUGAUGUCUUUAACACCUUUCCGGGCCUUGACAGUUGUAGUUAUUGGCUGUUGAUGAAAGGAUAGAAGUCUGCCAAAUUUCAUUAAAAAUAUAUUCAUGUGUUCCGAAAAUGAACAAAAGUCUUAUAGGUUUGGAAUGACACGAGGGUGAGUAAUUAAUGAGAAUUCUGAUUUUUGGUGAACAAACUUCUUAAGGCACACUUUGUUUUCGGCACCACUAAUAACACUGUUCUACACAAGAUGUACACUUUUAUUCAGACCACUGUGUACAACAAAGAUGUUGGCAAAGUGAAGGUCCUUGUAUUGCUGAGGUUAGAGCAAGGCUGCUUAGCUAGGUUGUUCAACAGGUUCUGUACUGAAUAUAGUGAUGUAUUGUCAUUUCAUGCAGACGUCACGUGAUGUAUUUUUGUGCAUGAAAUUGUGUGUUUCUUGAGCAUGACAGCAUUGUAAUAAAGGUUUUGAAUUGGACGUCGUUGAUCUUGUUUUCUGUUCUGUUUUUAAAACACCAAAUGGGAUUUAAAAUGAGAGAAUUUUUCCCUAUUAUAAAUGUAAAUGAACUCUACAUAAGUGAAAUAUUAACACUAAUUAGAGUAAAUUUUCCUGCAGAGUUAAACUGUGGUAACACAGAACAGAGUUAAUUUCCGCUAGUGUUAAACUCUGGUAACACUAUUCAGUGUUGAGCAGUGUUAAUUUUUUACUCAAAAUAGAGUCAAUUUAACACUAUGACGAGAGUCAAUUUAUCACCAAUUCUGAGUGGGACCAAAUACACUCGGGCCGAGUGUUAAAUUUAACUCUCAUAGAG